UUUCACUGCUCCCGAAGGCUGGAGAAAUGAUCUGCUUUCUAGAGCCAUAAAAGUUCUCUUAACAUAAAACCUUCUACAGAAAUGGGUUUCACAGGCAGGCUGUCUUCAGUGACUUCAGUGACAGUUUUUCAAAAUCAAGUUUUACUUCACUGCUGAUGCAAAAGAGAAACAAUUCUGGGUGACUCAGCUUCGAGCUUGUGCCAAAUACCACAUGGAAAUGAAUUCUAAGAGUGCUCCAAGCUCCCGAAGCCGAAGUCUCACUUUGCUCCCACAUGGAACACCCAAUUCUGCGUCUCCCUGUAGCCAGAGACACCUCAGUGUGGGGGCCCCCGGUGUUGUCACAAUCACGCAUCACAAGUCGCCUGCAGCCGCCCGAAGAGCCAAGAGUCAGUAUUCCGGCCAGCUUCACGAAGUCAGAGAGAUGAUGAACCAGGUGGAAGGGCAGCAGAAGAACCUUGUGCACGCCAUUGAGUCCCUGCCAGGGUCCGGCCCCCUCACUGCCUUGGACCAGGACCUGCUGCUCCUGAAAGCUACCUCUGCUGCCACCCUCAGCUGCCUUGGGGAGUGCCU
rnacentral:lncRNA from 1 species